GGACUGCAGCAUUACUGGUGUGAAAUGUCACCAGAUCAUUGGUUUUAUAGUUAACAGUAAGGGUGUUUGGUUCCGGUUUUGGUACGGUUCUAGCCCAAAAUCAUACCUUCGGUUCUUUGACUUUUAGGAACCAAACUUCGGUUCUAGUUUCGAUUUGGUUUUAAGUAAUUUUGAUACUGUUCCAGUUCUAGUUUUGAUUUUAAUUUCGUUUCAAAUUUGUCUCUAAUUUUAUUUCAAAUCUU
rnacentral:misc_RNA from 1 species